rnacentral:rRNA from 1 species
CCCUUAGAUGUUCGGGGCCGCACGCGCGCUACACUGCAGGAAUCAGCACGUCUUUCUCCUUGUCCGAAAGGACUGGGUAACCCGCUGAACCUCCUUCGUGCUAGGGAUUGGGGCUUGUAAUUCUUCCCCAUGAACGAGGAAUUCCCAGUAAGCGCGAGUCAUAAGCUCGCGUUGAUUACGUCCCUGCCCUUUGUACACACCGCCCGUCGCUACUACCGAUUGGAUGGUUUAGUGAGAUCCUCGGAUUGGUCCCGGAGCGGCCUCUGGUCGUGCCGGAGUGCCGAAAAGAAUGUCGAACUUGAUCAUCUAGAGGAAGUAAAAGUCGUAACA